rnacentral:rRNA from 1 species
AUUGAACGCUGGCGGCAUGCUUUACACAUGCAAGUCGGACGGCAGCACAGAGAAGCUUGCUUCUUGGGUGGCGAGUGGCGAACGGGUGAGUAAUAUAUCGGAACGUACCGAGCAGUGGGGGAUAACUAAUCGAAAGAUUAGCUAAUACCGCAUAUUUUCUGAGGAAGAAAGCAGGGGACCAUUUGGCCUUGCGCUGUUUGAGCGGCCGAUAUCUGAUUAGCUAGUUGGUGGGGUAAAGGCCUACCAAGGCGACGAUCAGUAGCGGGUCUGAGAGGAUGAUCCGCCACACUGGGACUGAGACACGGCCCAGACUCCUACGGGAGGCAGCAGUGGGGAAUUUUGGACAAUGGGCGCAAGCCUGAUCCAGCCAUGCCGCGUGUCUGAAGAAGGCCUUCGGGUUGUAAAGGACUUUUGUCAGGGAAGAAAAGGAUAGGGUUAAUACCCCUGUCUGAUGACGUACCUGAAGAAUAAGCACCGCA